ensembl:lncRNA
AGUGCAGGAAGCUGGUGGGGAGGGACAGAGGGCACAGGGGAUAGGGAAGGAAGGUGAGGGGUCGGGGAUGGGGUGUGGGGAGGGCACAAAGCAGGCGUGCAGGCGGCAGUGCUGCUCCAGCCUCUGUGCCAGAAGCGGUGCCAAACCCAUCCCCGCCACCCGGGCACGUGGCUCCCGCGACGGGGCCCUGUGCUGUCUCCUCUCUCCGGCUGCUGAGCAAAGCCAGGAGCUGCGCUCGGCUCCAGGCGGAGGCCGGGCCGUGCUGCCACAGCAUUGCUGGCAUAGCAGCGGGGAAGCGGCAGCCGGCGGCGCGCCAGCGGGCAGGACACGGCCCUGCAGGGAUUCGCCUGGAAUUCAGACGCCCACGUGGUCCAAAAUAGCCGCCUGGCUCCAGCAUCCGGAGCGCCCCGCUAAAGCCAUCUGCCGGGACGCGGCCCUCCCCGGGGCUCCUGCGGUACGGCUGCUGCCCGGCCCUGCGGGCAGAGGGGCAGUGCGGGCAGAGCAGCUCCGGGCAGCGGCGGUUUGACAGGAAGAUACGGGAGAGAAACGACAUCCCCGGGAAAUAUCAGAAGUAACUCACGGCGAGAGCUAAUUUGGGCACGCCUGAGUCAGGAGCUGUGGGGAAACGACCCGCCUGCCCCCCUCAUGGGGUGGCGUCCAGGACACCCCAUGCAACGCAGCAGCAACGGGCCCACAGCCUGUGCUGAAGGAGGCUCACGGGGUUGGAUUCGUGUUUGUGCUUUGCUGAAGCCCGUGGUGAAGCACUGAAGUGGAGAUGAGCGUGCGGGGUGAGCAGCGGCCUUCUGGAUGCUUCCAUUUGCACGGGGCAGCAGCCGGCACAGGCGACUCACACAGGAUGGACGCCGGGCUGCUGAGGCAGCUGACAGAGAUGCAGCGGGGUGGUCCCCAGUUUGGGGACACUGACCCAGGGGCUGCUCCGCAGGAACACCCAGAGAGGCCUUGAUAGGAACAGCACAGCGGGGCCCGGCGCGCUGACAUCCCCCAGCACUCACCCCCUCUUUCCAGCAGUGCCGCGGCCGCUGCCAGCAGGCAUUGGGGCCAGAGCGGUGCGUGCCCUUGGGUGAAGCACCCCAGCCCUGGGGAGCUCCUCCGUGCUCCACUCACCGGCAGCAAGGCGCGAUCGGUGCUGCUGCAAGGAGCUGGCAGGAGCGCGGCCGUAGGGGCCGUCCCAUCAGCCCGCCCCGAGCCGCCCUGCCUGGCUGCAGCCUGCGACGGAUGGAGGAUGUCGGAAGGAGCGGUGCCUGCGUUUCCUCCGGGACGGACCCAACCCAAUGGCGGCAUGGAGCCAGCGCUGAGUUGGAUGGGAACAGACCACCAUCUCCUUACCUAGGCGACCAACUGGACUUGUCAAGAGGAAAGAAAUUCAUCUACAUCUCACACAUAUGGUCCCAUCCUAAUGGAUAUGUAUGAGCAUAAGGGAAGAAGAAUAACCUUCUGGUUAGGCUAAGGGCUUGGCAGUUGAGAUUUCGAGAUGCUAUUCUCAGCGCUGUCCACACCUUGCUCCGAAGCCUUGGAAAAGCCUUCAUCCGUCCCCAGGCCCGGCAGCGCAGCCAACGCCCGCCUGGCACAGGAGGCACAGGAUGGACAACUGCGCCGCGCGUCCUCCCCAGCGGACUCCCGUGGCAACUUAAAGAGAGCAGGGGAGGAGGAGGGGAGGUGGCCACGAGGCUGUGUCCCUGAACCGCUCAGCGUGCAGGGUGAGGAGGCAGCCCGCCUGCUGGGCCGUGCUUCCCAAGGGCUGCCCCUACCAGCACAGGCACUGCGCGCACUCCGCGGGCCCCAGUGAGUUCAGACCCUCUGCAUGAAUGGGGGAAGGUCCUCACUCAGACGUUAGCACAGGCUCCUUCCUCCUCCUCCUCCUCCUCCCCGUGCUGGUGCAGGAGCCGCAGCCAUGCGAGCAGUGCGCGGAGCCGCAGUAAAUCCUCCCCUGCAGCCCGGGGCUCUGCCAAGCCCUCCCUUCCACCCAAAUUUAUGGGGAGCGGUCCCUGCCAGCGAAGCACGGCACGGUCACAGGGCGGAACAGACGGCACCACUUGGAGGCUCCUUCCUGCCCCCGUCGGCCCCAGCCCCCCGUGGGCACCCCCAGCCCCGCGGGCAGCCCGGGGCUCAGCCAGGGCUGCAGAGCCAAAGGUCAGCUCAGCGCCAGCCCCUUCCUCCGCUGUCGCAGCAGAGGUGGAGCUGGCGGCGGACCCGAGCGCCUGCGUUUCCCGAUGGCUGCGUGCUGAAAUUUGCAGCCUUAAUGGUGCAUUAGCGCUGGCUCCUGCGUUUCAUUACUCCUGAGAGCGAGGGAAGGCACAGAGCGAGCAUAAAAGCCCCCCCAGCCCAGCCACCAAACCCCAGCCCUACGCGGCUCUGGCGGGAGGCACACAUCGGGGGCCCCGUGCAGAGCCCCCUCACACCCACAGCCCACGGCCGCAGCCCGGCCCCACUGCUCUGCAUCGCUCCUGGGCCACCAUCCCGCUUUGCCUCCUGCUUCAGGCACACUCAGGGAAUUCAAUCCACUCUCUGCCCGACUCAGCCUUGGCUGCUCCUCCGUGCCACCGCUGGAGCACAGCGUAACGCCCUUGGAACCUCUCGGGGCUGGAGGAUGCUGGGAGGAGGGCUGGCGCCGAGCAGAGCAGCACGCCCGAGUCAGGAAGCGGGGAGUGGUGGGGAUCUCUGGGGUGAGAUUUGGGGUCUCACCGCCAGCACUGGGCAGCGGGAGCCCCGCACUGACAGGAUGCGCCCACCCAGCCCCACACCUGCCCAUGGGCACCCCACGCUCCAGCCUUGCCUCCAGCCUGGAGCUGCUCCUGGAGCUGUCCCCGUGCCAGGGCCGCCAUCACCUCCCCACAACAUCGGUGCUGCAGGGAUGCGGGGGUCUCCGGUGCCUCCCAGUGCCCAGCCCCGUUCCCAGGCCCCCGCCCGCAGCCUCCGCCCCGGCCCCUCCUGCCCAGCUCUUCCUGGCCCCAGCGGCGUUGGGCAGUGGAAACAUUUCGGAAACGCUUUUUACUGCUCUCAGACGGGGCUGCAGUUAACCCCUGCAGGAGCCGCUGCAUUGGGAAAAGCGAUUUCAUUACAGCCAGAAUUCCUCACGGGAAAAGCCGGGUUUGGGGCCACUGCUCACAUAGAAACCCCGCGCUGCUCCCCGCACUGCCAGCUCUGCACAUACAGAUCAUGCGCCACCAGCCCCACCGGCACCCCCGGGGCCAUGGGGCCGUGCGCAGCCAGCACUGCUGUGGGGCAGCUCCGCACCACACCCACUGUAACCCGGCCCUGUUUCCAGAAGCACCUACAGAGCAUUAGGUCACAGCCACCAAAAUAGCAGCUCCCAGCCCAAAUCGGGGCCAUGAGCGCAUUUUGUCCAUCCCCCGCCCAGGUUCCCAGCAUCCCGAUGCCACUGAGGUCCCCAGAGGAAGGGACAAGGGCUGCUCAGAGCCGAAGCCUUGGAGUGCUGUGGGUUGGCCCCACAGCCCCCGGCAGCUCCGUCCCUGUCCCCACAGCCCUGCACUGGGGUGCUGACAGGGCUACACUGCACUCCUGGCCCCAGUUGUGCUGUGGGGCACAGGUCCCAGGGCUGAGGGGAUACGGGACCUUCAGAACGUGGAGUCCUCCAUCGCCAGGAGGGGGUUUGCUGUGCUCCCCCACACCUCAACGGGCACCAGCACUGGCUGAUCCAAUAAUGCGUUCUGGAGACCUCAGGAACCGCUUCCACUUCCAUCCCUCUUGGAUCUCAGCUCAGAUCUCCCCCACUGCACCCACAGCCCACUGAGAGCCCUGGGGCAGCCGUGAUGAGCAGUGUUGUGCCACCCACCCCGCUCUGCGUCCUCAGCCCCUGGGGCACACGGAGACCCCAGACCCAAGCGUGCACCCCUGAUGUUCAGCGAUGCCCCACUCUGUUCCCGGCACCUGUUCUGUGCUGGGACCCGGGGUUCCCACUGGGGGGGUACGGCAGCGGGUUGGCACCGCCUCUGCUGGCGCUGAGCUCCCAGUGCCCCGGGGACCCCACAGCCGAGGGGACGCAGAGGGAGAGCCCCCGGCCCCCGGCGGAGCGGUGAUGGAGGAGCCAGCCGAGUUGCCAUGGAGAUUUUCUCCCUAGCAGAUGCUCUGGGCAGGUGCAAGAAGAGGCUCUGCCCCCCUCGCUGUGCGGCACAAUGCCAGCGGAUCCUGCACAAACAGGAAGCGCUGCGGCCGCGCGCUGCCAGCCCAGGGCCACCACCACCACCACCAGCAUGGGGAAAUCGAGGCACGGAGUGUCCCUCCCCAGCUCCCCUCCUUGCCCGCCCCAAAACCUGGCUGUGCAGACCCAAUGUGUGCAACCCAAAGCUGGGGGUGGGGUGGGUGACCAUGGGCACGGCAGUGCUGCUCAGCUGCUACCCGACCCCAAACCCCAAAGGCACCAAUGGGGGGCAUCUGCAGCACAGCAAGCUGGGGGGUGGCACGGGUGUGGGCAUCAAUGUGGGUGUAUCUGUGGGUCUGGGUGUAGCUAUAGGUGUGGGUAUAGCUGGGGGUCUGUGGGGGUGUAGGUGUGUGUAGAUGUGGGUGUAGGUGUGCGCCCAGAGGUGGGGUGUAGGUGGAGCAGUAUGUGUGGGUCUGAGUGUAGGUGUGAGCGUAUGUAGAUGGGGGUGUGGGUGUAAAUAUAGGUAGGGGGUUGGAUGUGAGUGUGGAUGCAGACGUGCAGGUGUAGAGGCAGGUGUGGGUGUGAGGUUUGGGGUGUGGGUACAGAUGUGGGCCUGGCAGCAGGAGGAGCUGUAUGGGGGGGGGGGGGGAAGAUGUAGGUGUGGGUUUGGGUGUAGGUGUGAACGCUGGGGUAGAUGUGGGUGUAGGUGUGACUGUAGGUACAGGUAUAGGCUCAGGUUUAGAUGCAGGUGUUAGGUGUAGGUGUAGCUGUAGGUGCAGGUGUGGACGUACGCAUACACCUGAAAGGUGCAGGUAUGGCUGUAGGUGCAGGUAUAGGUGUGGGCAUACCUGUAAGACGCAGGUGUAGCUGCGCUGUAGGUGCAGGUGUAGGUGUGGGCGCACCGGUAAGGUGCGAGCGUAGCUGUGUGGGGGCGGCCGUGGCUGUCGGUGCAGGCACACGGUGCCGGUGCGGUGCCGUGGGCGGCGCAAUGCCCCGCGCAGAGCCGUGCCCGCUCUCCGCUCUCCGCCCUCCGCCCAACGCCCUCCGCUCUCCGCCCUCCCCCGGCCGCGCUCCCCGCUCCCCGCUCCCCGCUCCAGGCCGGCUCUUCGGGGCAGCGCGGUGCGGGCGGUGCGCCAGGCCGGG